rnacentral:lncRNA from 1 species
CAUUUGUUCAGGCUGCCCCUGUGGACCACUGAACAAGUAGGCUAGUUAUAGAGCUGCUGGGAAGUUCAGGAGCCUAGGUGAAAUUUUGGAAAAAGGCAGUGGCAUAAAAUAAGGUCCCAGGGAACAGAUGACUGGAAACUGAAAAAAUAAAGUUAAGAGAAAUGCCUAGAGGAGAAAGUAUUUCAAGGAAUGUUGUGGAUGAGGUGGGGGUUUUAAGGCAGUAGUGGUGAGAGAAGUAGGCCUGAAAAUAAAAAAGAAUGAUGGGAAUACAAACACAUAUCAUUCAGAAAUAAAUGCUUUUGUAUCUACAAACAAAAUCUAUGUGGUUAAGCAAUAGUUACAGCCAGUUUCAAAAUGCGUAUAAUAAAUACGACUGUGCAUCCUCUCUCCUCC